UACGUAGGUUGCAAGCGUUGUCCGGAUUUACUGGGUGUAAAGGGCGUGUAGGCGGAGAAGCAAGUUGGGAGUGAAAUCCAUGGGCUCAACCCAUGAACUGCUCUCAAAACUGUUUCCCUUGAGUAUCGGAGAGGCAAGCGGAAUUCCUAGUGUAGCGGUGAAAUGCGUAGAUAUUAGGAGGAACACCAGUGGCGAAGGCGGCUUGCUGGACGACAACUGACGCUGAGGCGCGAAAGCGUGGGGAGCAAACA
rnacentral:rRNA from 1 species